GUCCCUGUCGAUUAGUGGUUAGAUCAUCACGUUGUGGUAUCGGGUGCAUCACUCGAGCAAACCGUGGGGACGCAGGCUCGAAUCCUGCCAGGGACA